rnacentral:rRNA from 1 species
UCCAGACUCCUACGGGAGGCAGCAGUGGGGGAUAUUGCACAAUGGGGGAAACCCUGAUGCAGCGACGCCGCGUGAGUGAAGAAGUAAUUCGUUACGUAAAGCUCUAUCAGCAGGGAAGAAAAUGACGGUACCUGACUAAGAAGCCCCGGCUAACUACGUGCCAGCAGCCGCGGUAAUACGUAGGGGGCAAGCGUUAUCCGGAAUUACUGGGCGUAAAGGGCGCAUAGGUGGGCGCUUAAGUCAGGUGUGAAAACUCCGGGCUCGACCUGGAGACUGCACUUGAAACUGGGUGUCUUGAGGGCAGGAGAGGAAAGUGGAAUCCCUAGUGUAGCGGUGAAAUGCGUAGAUAUUAGGAAGAACGCCAGUGGCGAAGGCGGCUUUCUGGACUGAAACUGACGCUGAGGCACGAAAGCGUGGGGAGCGAACAGGAUUAGAUACCCGAGUAAA